GCGUCGGUGGUGCAACGGUUUGGCACAUGCUCCCCGGAACGAGUAAGAUCUCGGUUCAAAUCCCGGCUGACGUA